GGCGCCUCCUGGGCUGCUGCCCCAGCGCGUUCCAGUCGCGCAACGACCGCGUGGUAGAAUAUCCGGCUCCGCGGCUUUUGCUUCGGUGUUUCCUAGGCAUCGUCGUGCAGAGAGUGUCGAGCCCGCCCAAAAUGGUCGUUUCCCCUACAGUUUCCUGUACCUUUUGAGAUGUCCUUUGUUCUGUCUGGUCCUGCCAUUGAUCCAUGCCAUUUGCUACUGAGAUGUCUUCAUUCCUGUCUGCCUGGUCCCAUCAGGACAAAAGAUGAAUCAUAAAAAAAGAAAAAAAAAGAAGUAGAAACAAAAGGAGGAAACAACCACAUGUUAAACCUUUCCGAGGCAUUGUGCACAUCAUGUUUAAAGAGUUUAUUUUGUGAUUGGUUUGCAUUUUCACUGGUUUGUCAUGAUUACAGUCACAGUGUCCAAUUUGUUAAGGAAAAAACUGUGUAUAAUUUUGCUUGUUGAUUGCAUGCAAUGUAAAUAUACUUUAAAAUUUAGAUUCCUAGUGCCAUCUCUUAAAUACCUCUAUCAAGAUUAGUAGAGCAGACCCACCUACUUCAAACCAUCAGACAAUGCCAGUUGGGUUAUUUUUACCUCUGUACCUUGAGAAAGAUGGCAUUCAGUAAACAGUUGUCUCCUUUCAAAUUUUAUUUUUAAAAAUACGUGUUAACCUAGUUUCAUAUAAUGAUACUAAACUCAGUGUGAUUGAUACACAGAAUUGCAAGUCCUUAGUAAAGGAAUCUGUUGAAAGCAAAACAAUGUCCAAUGACUCUCAAAAUAAAUAUGAUCAAAGCAACAAAGAUGGUUUUCAUCUUGUCUUCCAUUUUCUGUGGAACAGUUCGGGCAGUAGCUGCUCUUCCCCGUCAGGGCCUUAAAAUCACACUUUAAAUCUCUAUGUAAGAGCACAUAGCAAACAGUACUGUACUUGUUGCCAAUGGUAAAAGUUGAGCUCUCAAGGAAAAACCAGAAUUUUGGUAAAUCUGUAUCCACCACUCAUUUUCCCUCUUUGUCUUACAUCAUGAGGUUAACAGUUUAUCCAAACUUAAUGACUUUUCUGAUGAGAUUAGUAAUGAUGUUAAUGAAUAUGUAUUUUUUAUAUUGUAUAACUAAGGGAGUUAAUUUUUAGAAGAUCUGCAUAACUUAGUAGACCAAUAUUUCUCAGAUAAUCAAUGCACGAUGUUACAGAAUCAUGGACCAGUAAAAGCCAUUUGAAGUACGAAGUUGACUAAUGGAUUUUAGUGGAACAGAGUAUGAAAAUCAUUGCUAUGAUUUCAUAUUCCACAUUGCAACUGUUUUGGUCU